GAACGGAGUGCCUCGGAAAGAGAUUUCGGUCAAUGGAAGAGGAUACUUAGUGGCGGACGGGUGAGUAACGCGUGAGGAACCUACCUCUCAGAGGGGGACAACAGUUGGAAACGACUGCUAAUACCGCAUAAUAUAUCUGUAUCGCAUGGUAUGGAUAUCAAAGAUUUAUCGCUGAGAGAUGGCCUCGCGUCUGAUUAGCUAGUUGGUAGGGUAACGGCCUACCAAGGCGACGAUCAGUAGCCGGACUGAGAGGUUGGCCGGCCACAUUGGGACUGAGAUACGGCCCAGACUCCUACGGGAGGCAGCAGUGGGGAAUAUUGGGCAAUGGGCGCAAGCCUGACCCAGCAACGCCGCGUGAAGGAAGAAGGCUUUCGGGUUGUAAACUUCUUUUAAGAGGGAAGAGCAGAAGACGGUACCUCUUGAAUAAGCCACGGCUAACUACGUGCCAGCAGCCGCGGUAAUACGUAGGUGGCAAGCGU
rnacentral:rRNA from 1 species